rnacentral:misc_RNA from 1 species
AGAGAGAGAGAGAGAGAGAGACGUCUCAACGAGGGUAAGCCGCAAUUUUUUUUAUCCCCUUACGUUUGUCAGUUCUUUAUUGCAAAGAAUUAGCGCUAAAUUUCUAUUGCUUGAUUUGCCUUGCUUGGAUAUGAAUAAAUUUUCGAAUUCUUGAAUUUUCUGGAGUUUCUCAUACAGCCCCAGCUCUGUAAUUUGAUUUUCUAGAGGGUUUCAAUGCUCGAAUUUUGCAUUCGGUUCAUGAAAACAUUUGAUGCCAUGUGAUUGUGAAAGCGUUUUCAUUCAUAUCAGAAAAUGAAAUAGUUUCAAUUCGAUGUUCAAAUGAUAUCUGCCAUUAUUUCAAUAGUGCACCUGUCAAAGAGUUGAGAGUAUGUGCAGAUAAUCUGUAAGCUAAUAGAGAGUUUUCUUUGUGUAAGGUAAUAAAAAUGGGGCUUUGGUAUAAUUACAGCGUAACUGAAGUUGGUGGAUCAGACAUGGAGUCUGAUCAGGGUUUUCCCCCCAUUUUUGUGGUAAAUAUUGGCAUUUUUAGUUUCUAAUUUAUGAUGUAGACAUUUAAUAAGGUUGGUUUGUGUGAAUUUGAUGAUACGGUAGUUCUUAAAUGUUCAUAAUAAUUAAUUUUAGGUGGGUUUCUUUGAUAUUCAUUUUAACUUAAAAUGUAUUUUUAUCUUGUUAAACAUAGCAUAAAAACUGUAUCUCUUCAUAUUUGAUUUUUUUCUUCCAUCUUGUUUCCCUUCAGCCUGUAACUGUUCUCUAGACCUCCCAUAUUUAAUGGUUGCACUUUCACAGUAAUUUUUUAAAUUGUGAUACAGCUACUUGGAGCUAUUAAAAUGAAGUUUUACAUUCUAAAUGACCACUCUAGAAUACUUGUGUGUUAGAUUGAAGAAUAUAUAGUGACCUGCAGAGGAAAUUCUGCAAACAAACCGUUUACCUUCUAUCUUAGGGCAUUUUAUGAUCUUAUUUAACUGAGGGAAAGUCUUUUUUUUUUAUAUAUAUAUUUUUAUGGCAGUUGUCAUCUUACUGCUGACUUAUUUAUUUAUUUUUCAAAUUCAUGUGUUUCAGUGCUUGAAAAGCAGAGCUCUUACACAAAGUUGAUAAGGCUUCAAUUGUUAGCUAAGCAAUGAUAGCACCGAGUAAAUCUUCUCCCAUAGUAUCAAAUCUUUUGGUGCCCUGCAUACAUCCCAAGAGUCUGAAAUUCUUAAAAUCCUCAAGUAUACACCAUGUUGUUAACUUCCCUAAAAUUUGGAUUAAUCAUACUCCUGUUUGCUGCACAAAAUUAACUCCAUGGGAGCCUUCACCAGUCACGUAUGCUCCCACUGAUGAUGCUGCUGGUAGCUUCUUGGAGAAAAGUAGCAACAUAUUUGAAACUCUUCAUUCCAAUGACAGAACUGAAGCACCAACAGCCACCAGUGAAGAGUGUGCGGAUACCAAGAAUAAGCAAUUGGUGCAGUUUCAGUUUCUUAAAUGGCCUAUGUGGCUCCUGGGUCCUUCUCUUCUUCUCACCACUGGCAUGGUGCCCACAUUAUGGCUACCACUUUCUUCUAUAUUCCUAGGCCCCAAUAUAGCCAGCCUGCUUUCCUUGAUUGGACUGGAUUGCAUCUUCAAUAUUGGUGCUACUCUUUUUCUUCUCAUGGCUGACGCUUGUUCCCGGCCAAAAAAGAUGGCACAAGCCAGCAAUAGCAAGCCUCCUUUCAGUUACAAAUUGUGGAACAUGGUUGCAUCUGUGUCUGGACUUGUCAUUCCUUUGUUGAUGCUGUUGGGAUCCCAAAAAGGCUCCCUCCAACCACAGCUGCCUUUUAUCUCGUUUACAGUUUUGUUGGGUCCCUACCUCCUGCUUCUAUCUGUACAGAUUCUGACUGAGAUGCUGACUUGGCAUUGGCAGUCACCAGUGUGGUUGGCAACUCCAGUUGUAUACGAGGCAUAUCGUGUGUUACAGCUGAUGAGGGGGUUGAAGCUUGGAGCUGAGCUCAGUGCACCGGCGUGGAUGAUGCAUAUGCUUAGGGGGCUCGUAUGUUGGUGGAUCCUGAUCCUGGGUAUUCAACUCAUGAGAGUUGCUUGGUUUGCUGGUUUCACUGCUCAAGCUCGCCGGCAACUGUCUUCUGCUUCUGCAGAUAGUUAAUAUAUUACUCAUUGUUACCAAAGAAUAUGGAUGAAGAAUCAUGGCUUCAGAUACAGAUUAUUUUAUUGUACGAUCAAAUAAUGUCUAGAUUGCAGGGUUCCUAGUGUAUUCACACUGUUCUUUUGGUUUCCAGUGAAUUUAGAAUAGGAUGAAGUUUUUAUGUGCGGUGAUAAAAGUAAUGUGCUUCAUACAUACCAUGACAUCCCAUGUAAUGUAACCAUAGUGACGAAGUUGACAAAAUGUUUGAGCUUUUUAGCUAGCAGGCUUGCAUUUUAAUACAAAUCUUCAAUAUUAUAGAUUGCUU